AGGACUGAGUACACUAACACUAGACAGAGAACCAGGUGGAGAGAUGGAAUUAGAACCUUUGCCGGGGCAGGAUGGAGCACACUAACACCAGACAGAGAACCAGGUGGAGAGAUGGAAUUAGAACCUUUGCCGGGGCAGGAUGGAGCACACUAACACCAGACAGAGAACCAGGUGGAGAGGUGGAAUUAGAACCUUUACCGGGGCAGGAUGGAGCACACUAACACCAGACAGAGAACCAGGUGGAGAGGUGGAAUUAGAACCUUUACCGGGGCAGGAUGGAGCACACUAACACUAGACAGAGAACCAGGUGGAGAGAUGGAAUUAGAACCUUUGCCGGGGCAGGAUGGAGCACACUAACACCAGACAGAGAACCAGGUGGAGAGAUGGAAUUAGAACCUUUGCCGGGGCAGGAUGGAGUACACUAACACCAGACAGAGAACCAGGUGGAGAGAUGGAAUUAGAACCUUUACCGGGGCAGGAUGGAGCACACUAACACCACACAGAGAACCAGGUG